UUAAGUUAUUAAGGGCGCACGGUGGAUGCCUUGGCACUAGAAGCCGAUGAAGGACGUUACUAACGACGAUAUGCUUUGGGGAGCUGUAAGUAAGCUUUGAUCCAGAGAUUUCCGAAUGGGGAAACCCAGCAUGAGUUAUGUCAUGUUAUCGAUAUGUGAAUACAUAGCAUAUCAGAAGGCACACCCGGAGAACUGAAACAUCUUAGUACCCGGAGGAAGAGAAAGAAAAUUCGAUUCCCUUAGUAGCGGCGAGCGAAACGGGAAGAGCCCAAACCAACAAGCUUGCUUGUUGGGGUUGUAGGACACUCUAUACGGAGUUACAAAGGACGACAUUAGACGAAUCAUCUGGAAAGAUGAAUCAAAGAAGGUAAUAAUCCUGUAGUCGAAAAUGUUGUCUCUCUUGAGUGGAUCCUGAGUACGACGGAGCACGUGAAAUUCCGUCGGAAUCUGGGAGGACCAUCUCCUAAGGCUAAAUACUCUCUAGUGACCGAUAGUGAACCAGUACCGUGAGGGAAAGGUGAAAAGCACCCCGGAAGGGGAGUGAAAUAGAACCUGAAACCGUGUGCUUACAAGUAGUCAGAGCCCGUUAAUGGGUGAUGGCGUGCCUUUUGUAGAAUGAACCGGCGAGUUACGAUUUGAUGCAAGGUUAAGCAGUAAAUGUGGAGCCGUAGCGAAAGCGAGUCUGAAUAGGGCGUUUAGUAUUUGGUCGUAGACCCGAAACCAGGUGAUCUACCCUUGGUCAGGUUGAAGUUCAGGUAACACUGAAUGGAGGACCGAACCGACUUACGUUGAAAAGUGAGCGGAUGAACUGAGGGUAGCGGAGAAAUUCCAAUCGAACCUGGAGAUAGCUGGUUCUCUCCGAAAUAGCUUUAGGGCUAGCCUCAAGUGAUGAUUAUUGGAGGUAGAGCACUGUUUGGACGAGGGGCCCCUCUCGGGUUACCGAAUUCAGACAAACUCCGAAUGCCAAUUAAUUUAACUUGGGAGUCAGAACAUGGGUGAUAAGGUCCGUGUUCGAAAGGGAAACAGCCCAGACCACCAGCUAAGGUCCCAAAAUAUAUGUUAAGUGGAAAAGGAUGUGGCGUUGCCCAGACAACUAGGAUGUUGGCUUAGAAGCAGCCAUCAUUUAAAGAGUGCGUAAUAGCUCACUAGUCGAGUGACACUGCGCCGAAAAUGUACCGGGGCUAAACAUAUUACCGAAGCUGUGGAUUGUCCUUUGGACAAUGGUAGGAGAGCGUUCUAAGGGCGUUGAAGCAUGAUCGUAAGGACAUGUGGAGCGCUUAGAAGUGAGAAUGCCGGUGUGAGUAGCGAAAGACGGGUGAGAAUCCCGUCCACCGAUUGACUAAGGUUUCCAGAGGAAGGCUCGUCCGCUCUGGGUUAGUCGGGUCCUAAGCUGAGGCCGACAGGCGUAGGCGAUGGAUAACAGGUUGAUAUUCCUGUACCACCUAUAAUCGUUUUAAUCGAUGGGGGGACGCAGUAGGAUAGGCGAAGCGUGCGAUUGGAUUGCACGUCUAAGCAGUAAGGCUGAGUAUUAGGCAAAUCCGGUACUCGUUAAGGCUGAGCUGUGAUGGGGAGAAGACAUUGUGUCUUCGAGUCGUUGAUUUCACACUGCCGAGAAAAGCCUCUAGAUAGAAAAUAGGUGCCCGUACCGCAAACCGACACAGGUAGUCAAGAUGAGAAUUCUAAGGUGAGCGAGCGAACUCUCGUUAAGGAACUCGGCAAAAUGACCCCGUAACUUCGGGAGAAGGGGUGCUCUUUAGGGUUAACGCCCAGAAGAGCCGCAGUGAAUAGGCCCAAGCGACUGUUUAUCAAAAACACAGGUCUCUGCUAAACCGUAAGGUGAUGUAUAGGGGCUGACGCCUGCCCGGUGCUGGAAGGUUAAGAGGAGUGGUUAGCUUCUGCGAAGCUACGAAUCGAAGCCCCAGUAAACGGCGGCCGUAACUAUAACGGUCCUAAGGUAGCGAAAUUCCUUGUCGGGUAAGUUCCG
rnacentral:rRNA from 1 species